UGGGGAAUUUUGGACAAUGGGCGCAAGCCUGAUCCAGCCAUGCCGCGUGCGGGAAGAAGGCCUUCGGGUUGUAAACCGCUUUUGUCAGGGAAGAAAUCUUCUGAGUUAAUACCUCGGGAGGAUGACGGUACCUGAAGAAUAAGCACCGGCUAACUACGUGCCAGCAGCCGCGGUAAUACGUAGGGUGCAAAGCGUUAAUCGGAAUUACUGGGCGUAAAGCGUGCGCAGGCGGUUUUGUAAGACAGAGGUGAAAUCCCCGGGCUCAACCUGGGAACUGCCUUUGUGACUGCAAGGCUUGAGUGCGGCAGAGGGGGGAUGGAAUUCCGCGUGUAGCGUGAAAUGCGUAGAUAUGCGGAGGAAACACCGAUGGCGAAGGCAAUCCCCUGGGCCUGCACUGACGCUCAUGCACGAAGGCGUGGGGAGCAAACAGGAUUAGAUAGCCCUGGUAGUCCACGCCCUAAAACGAUGUCAACUGGUUGUUGGGAA
rnacentral:rRNA from 1 species